rnacentral:rRNA from 1 species
UCGGAUUAGCUAGUUGGUGAGUAAUGGCUCACCAAGGCGACGAUCCGUAACUGGUCUGAGAGGAUGAUCAGUCACACUGGAACUGAGACACGGACCAGACUCCUACGGGAGGCAGCAGUGAGGAAUAUUGGACAAUGGGCGCAAGCCUGAUCCAGCCAUGCCGCGUGCAGGAUGACGGUCCUAUGGAUUGUAAACUGCUUUUAUACAGGAAGAAACACUACUUCGUGAAGUAGCUUGACGGUACUGUAAGAAUAAGGAUCGGCUAACUCCGUG